UGGGAGCGAGUCUGGAUCGAUGGCUUUACUCUUAACUGAGUUCGAGGUGUUGACGAUCAUGUUCUCCAUUCUGGUUUUCGCCCUCUUCACACUCAUCGGGAUGAUCAACGAGGAGUGUCCACACUUGGAAGAAACUAAUGAAAAAGCCCAAAGCCAGGAGAUGUUGGUGUGACUACUUCCUGCUAAUAAGCACCCUGUGAGACAAACUCAACUGCAGUCUGGUGUGUGGCCAUGACGUUUUAUCAGUUCAUAAAACCAAUUCUGCCAGGUUGAUCUCUGAACGCGGACCUAGUGUAACUUGCUUCCAGGAUGAGGCACAAAGGUCUGCCAGGCGUAUCUCUGAACGCGUGUUUGUGCGUUUGUUUGAGGACCUAGUGUAGCUUGCUUCCAGGAUGAGGUACAGAGGAGUGGCCUACAUUGUGCAACUAAAAAAAGCAAUAAACAGACACCUGCUCCAACAAAGUGUCUCCUGACAGGAUCGCCAGCCGGCUCGACUUUCAGAUGUCAGGAGACAACAAGAAAAGCUUCCUUUGUGAACUAAUUCUGGAAAACAGCCUGUGUACUCCUUCCAUCAAUCAUCAAGAACGUCCAAUAAUGAGAGGGUCAGCUGCAGUGAAGAGAGCAUCAAGACAUCCAGGAGUGUCCCUUAAGCACCAGGACUCCUCAUAAGGAGUGUGCUACAGAAUCAAGUUGCCACCAGCGCAGAGGUUGGUCAACAUUUGUAGCAGAUUUCCUGAAUCUGAGGAGAAAAUACCACAGACACCACUGUCCACACAGACGCUGCAUGCCUCUCCACUCGAGGGUCCCUUUCCCCUGAGGUGGAGAAAAGUG